UGGGGAAUAUUGCACAAUGGGCGCAAGCCUGAUGCAGCCAUGCCGCGUGUGUGAAGAAGGCCUUCGGGUUGUAAAGCACUUUCAGCGGGGAGGAAGGCGGUGAGGUCAAUAACCUCAUCGAUUGACGUUACCCGCAGAAGAAGCACCGGCUAACUCCGUGCCAGCAGCCGCGGUAAUACGGAGGGUGCAAGCGUUAAUCGGAAUUACUGGGCGUAAAGCGCACGCAGGCGGUCUGUCAAGUCGGAUGUGAAAUCCCCGGGCUCAACCUGGGAACUGCAUUCGAAACUGGCAGGCUAGAGUCUUGUAGAGGGGGGUAGAAUUCCAGGUGUAGCGGUGAAAUGCGUAGAGAUCUGGAGGAAUACCGGUGGCGAAGGCGGCCCCCUGGACAAAGACUGACGCUCAGGUGCGAAAGCGUGGGGAGCAAACAGG
rnacentral:rRNA from 1 species